rnacentral:lncRNA from 1 species
CUGGUGAGAGCCUGCCAUGUUAUACUGUGGCGUGCUUUCUAGCAGCAGAAGUGAGAAAUGUUUUCAAGAGAGUAUUGCACAAAUGGAUCUAACACACCGGUCUGGCACCCAUCAAAGGAAAAUAGGUGUAGCUGUUGCUGCAAGAGGAGGAGAAAUUAAUUCCUACCCAAUGGUCCCAACCCAGGAUUAUUUGCAUUCAUCAACAAGUGGUGGCUGAGGUGGGGUGCACAGCAGGAGUGACUUCGACCUUCUCAUUUAUAAAGGAAUUCAGAUAAAGAAAUGGUGAAGUAACCAUGCAAUGACAAAAUGAUCAUCAGCCUCUGUGUUCAAAACUAGCAAGAUGGAUAUAGCUAAAGUCUUUAGCUUUGUUACAGCAUUCAGAUGAAUCAUUUAUAUGUACAUAUGCAAUCUUUGUUUUAUAUAUAUAUUGCAACAUGGUAAUCACAAUGAUGAGUUAAUGGCUGGACCAUAGAAUUUGCUACUUAGAAAGCUGUAAACAGCACAACCACACUACAGUGGGAGUUAGUAUAUAAUUAUUUAUGGAUCCUCCAUCAGUUGUAUUAGCUGCCUGAUCACUAUCUCUCAAUUAAUUUACCAGCCCUAAAUAUAUUGACAUACAUGUGCUGACAGGUAUUUGAGUUUAUAGUCAGCGGGAGCAAUACUAGGAUCUAUGCUAUGGAUCCUCUUUUGAUUGAAAUCCCGAGUAAUAUAUAUUCAAGGCAUCGAAAUAUAUUCAAAGUAUUCUAACACAAAGAUUUUAGUCUUUGUUCCACCCGUAGUUUAGAUGUCAGGAUCCGUUAUUGCUUCUCUUGCUGUUGCUGCUUCAUUAUUUACUAUGUAUCUCAUGUCAAUGUUAAUGCUUUUUUAUUUUAUUAUGCUUGUAUUUUAUCCUGAUAUAUCCAAAGUUAAAAUCUAGUAAGUG